rnacentral:rRNA from 1 species
UACGUAGGGGGCAAGCGUUGUCCGGAUUUAUUGGGCGUAAAGAGCGUGUAGGCGGCUUGGAGGGUCGGCUGUGAAAACUCGAGGCUCAACCUCGAGAGGUCGGUGGAAACCGUCUGGCUAGAGUCCGGAAGAGGAGAGUGGAAUUCCCGGUGUAGCGGUGAAAUGCGCAGAUAUCGGGAAGAACACCAGUGGCGAAGGCGACUACCUGGCCUGUUCUUGACGCUGAGGCGCGAAAGCUAGGGGAGCAAACGGG